rnacentral:sRNA from 1 species
GCUGGAUGCAAUGGCGCAUGCCUGUAAUCCCAGUGGCUUGGGAGGCUGAGGCAGGAGGAUCACUAGUUCAAAGUCAGCCUCAGCAAAAUCGAGGCACUAAGCAACUUAGUGAGACCCUAUCUCUA